UGCUCCGGCCGGGAUUUGAACUCGAAACCUCUCGCAAUUCCAAAGCGAGAAUCAUACCCCUAGACCACCGAACC